UCCAGCUGAGAAGACAUGGAAAAACAAGCAUGUGAUUCUCGAAAAUUAACUUCCUCCCAUACUUCCUAUAAAAACCCACAUGUUCUGUAUCAUCACUGUAAGGCUCCUCAGCAGUUAGACAAAUCCGGUAACAAACAUGCUAUGGUGUGAGGGACUCAUACGGGAUUUUAUAUUUUAAUCCACCAUGAAAACGCCUCACACUAAAGAAUGAAUCAUUUGUAGUGGUAGAAAGAGAGUCUUUUACUGAAUUGGAGGUCAUUAUUAGGAAGAGCAGGCCAGAGAAAAACAGCUUUUGGGAAACACAAAAAUAAUUAAAUUUCUCUUUUCAUCAACUGUCAUUAAUCAACCAAUGGAUAAAAAUUAACAAAAACUACCCCAAAAUCCUAAUAAAUAUUUAUUUAUUUUAAAGAGGACGUAUCCAGUCACUGACGUCGUUCCUUUGUGGCGCGGGAGGAACCACCUGGCUUCCAGUUCUUGCUGGUCGCUCUGAGCGGGUUUAGAGUCAUUUCUUAGGAAAUGAAAAGCGGGAGAAGGUGGAAGAUCUCAAAUGAACACUUUCAACCCAAACUUCUCCUUCGAGAACAUUCUCUGUUUUUCAGGCCAUUAUACCACUGUCUGUGUCUCCAGAAUAAAUCCAGGACCCAGCUCCACUGCUACAACUCUGGUCAAGAUUACCAACCUCUCUCGCCUAAACUAGUUUACAGGGGCAUGACUGGUCCUCAACAAAUACUUGUUGCCAGAAUGAAUGAAGGAGCCAUCAAAAGAUGAGAGAGUAAGUGGGUUAUAGGUGAAUAGCUGCCCAAAUAUUCAAUGGAUGGUGAGGGAUUAGAGACAGCUGGUCCCUUUCACACCUUCCCUCAGGCUCAGUGAAGAACUAAAGCUGUAUUACUGACAAUGGAGUGAAAAUAUUUUAGAUGAUAUUAAAUAUUUUGGGCAAAAAUAUAAACAUUAGAUUUUUUAAUUU